UAAUACNUAAGUAACCUGGCAUCUACAGGGGGAUAACUGAUGGAAACGUCAGCUAAGACCGCAUAGGUGUAGAGAUCGCAUGAACUCUAUAUGAAAAGUGCUACGGGACUGGUAGAUGAUGGACUUAUGGCGCAUUAGCUUGUUGGUAGGGUAACGGCCUACCAAGGCGACGAUGCGUAGCCGACCUGAGAGGGUGACCGGCCACACUGGGACUGAGACACGGCCCAGACUCCUACGGGAGGCAGCAGUAGGGAAUUUUCGGCAAUGGGGGAAACCCUGACCGAGCAACGCCGCGUGAAGGAAGAAGUAAUUCGUUAUGUAAACUUCUGUCAUAGAGGAAGAACGGUGGAUAUAGGGAAUGAUAUCCAAGUGACGGUACUCUAUAAGAAAGCCACGGCUAACUACGUGCCAGCAGCCGCGGUAACACGUAGGUGGCGAGCGUUAUCCGGAAUUAUUGGGCGUAAAGAGGGAGCAGGCGGCACUAAGGGUCUGUGGUGAAAGAUCGAAGCUUAACUUCGGUAAGCCAUGGAAACCGUAGAGCUAGAGUGUGUGAGAGGAUCGUGGAAUUCCAUGUGUAGCGGUGAAAUGCGUAGAUAUAUGGAGGAACACCAGUGGCGAAGGCGACGAUCUGGCGCAUAACUGACGCUCAGUCCCGAAAGCGUGGGGAGCAAAUAGGAUUAGAUACCCUAGUAGUCCACGCCGUAAACGAUGA
rnacentral:rRNA from 1 species